ACACAAUGGAUUUUCCAUUAGACGUGUAAAUCCAUUGCCCGAGUUGGAAAGUGUAAAUUACCCAGCUUUCUUGCGGCAUUUUGCGCAGACACGCCCACUUUACCUCGGAGUACUUGUGGGUACCCAGAGGUGGACGUGCAACCUUACUGCAAACAUGGCUGCGCCCAUAGUUGAGAUGAGAUGACAUGUAUUUUUUUUUGCAAAUGUAUCGUAACACCCCCAAUAUCUGAAAGUGGCGUGUCUUAGGUAUAGGCUCAAUCCAAACCCACAGGGUACAGUUGUGAACUCCUAGCCUGGAAGCCAGUCCGAAUUAGCCCCGGCCACAAAAUUUGAGUCCUGGAAGUUCGUUCUGGACUCGUUCCAUUGACUAGCCUCUUUGAAUAUUAUUUAGAUGAAGGAUAUGUUGGCCACUAGGAUUCAUGGUAGGCUAUUUCCUUGGUCUGAUUGGUUAGGUCUAUCCAAUUGUGUGCAGAGGCAUUAUCCCUCCCUUUAUCGGUUGAAACACGCCCCGUAAUCACAUCCCUACACUCUGAUUCCAGACUCAAAUUCUGAAUAAAAUUUUAAGUAUGGCUACGUCAGGCUAGUGAACUCUAGAUCCAUACGGUAUUUAAAUGUUGGCCCUAGGUGUAGGCUCAAUCCAAACCCAUUGGGUACGGUGGUAAGUAAUCCAUACGUAAUCCAUACGGUAUUUAAAUGUUGGCCCUAGGUGUAGGCUCAAUCCAAACCCACUGGGUACGGUGGUAAGUAAUCCAUACGUAAUCCAUACGGUAUUUAAAUGUUGGCCCUAGGUGUAGGCUCAAUCCAAACCCACUGGGUACGGUGGUAAGUAAUCCAUACGUAAUCCAUACGGUAUUUAAAUGUUGGCCCUAGGUGUAGGCUCGGUCCAAACCCACUGGGUACGGUGGUGAGUAAUCCAUACGGUAUUUAAAUGUUGGCCCUAGGUGUAGGCUCGGUCCAAACCCACUGGGUACGGUGGUGAGUAAUCCAUACGGUAUUUAAAUGUUGGCCCUAGGUGUAGGCUCAAUCCAAACCCACUGGGUACGGUGGUAAGUAAUCCAUACGUAAUCCAUACGGUAUUUAAAUGUUGGCCCUAGGUGUAGGCUCAAUCCAAACCCACUGGGUACGGUGGUAAGUAAUCCAUACGUAAUCCAUACGGUAUUUAAAUGUUGGCCCUAGGUGUAGGCUCAAUCCAAACCCACUGGGUACGGUGGUGAAGUAAUCCAUACGUAAUCCAUACGGUAUUUAAAUGUUGGCCCUAGGUGUAGGCUCGGUCCAAACCCACUGGGUACGGUGGUGAGUAAUCCAUACGUAAUCCAUACGGUAUUUAAAUGUUGGCCCUAGGUGUAGGCUCGGUCCAAACCCACUGGGUACGGUGGUAAGUAAUCCAUACGUAAUCCAUUACGGUAUUUAAAUGUUGGCCCUAGGUGUAGGCUCGGUCCAA